GAGGAGGCAGCCACCCCUCUCCCUCUAUAAAAGGGGCUUGGCCGGCCACCUCCCCAUCUUUUGCUUCUCAUUUUUGGACACUCCACUCCUUCCUCCACUCUCUCACACCCUUCUCCUACCUCUUCCCCACGAGCUGAAGCUCCACCAAGGCUCCAUGGCCGGCCAUGGCCAUGAGAGCACACCAAACCGCAGCUCUCCUUCUCUCUCAAGCUCCCCCUCCCCAUGAGAGCAUUCCUCUCACUCUCUUCUCCCCCAACCCUAGCUGGUUUCCUCUCCUCUUCUUCUUCCUCCAUUGCUAAGAUUGGAUCUUGAUGCAGGUGCAUGUUGGUCCAAGCAUGGAGAAGGUUGAGCAAUCCUCAGAUCUGAAGCUCUUGACCAAAAUCCAAAUCGAGUGAUUCAAAGUUCCACAGAUAGGUAUUGAAAAGUUCUACAACUUGGCGUUGGUCUCGUCCUCAAAUUCAUUACGGAUUUGCCUUGAUCAAGAUCUGGUCAGAUCUGGCUUUGUCGAAUUAAACCAGGAGCUUUGGGACGAAUUUUGGAGUGAAACAAGUUGGUUAAGAACCACCUAUUAAUUACCUUUCAGAUGCA